GCGCCAUUAGCUCAGUUGGUAGAGCAGUUGACUCUUAAUCAAAUGGUCGGAGGUUCGACUCCUCUAUGGCGCACCA
rnacentral:tRNA from 1 species